UCUGAGCAGGAAAUAAGUAUGAUUAUUUCCAUCGAAGCGAUGCACCUCCUCCCGCAUCCCUUCGAACAUGCAGGCGCCCCAUCCUCCUCCCAGGGUCGCUUGCGGGAACGGCAGCACUCCUCCUCCCA
rnacentral:sRNA from 10 species